AGACAAAAUGUGAAUUAUACAAACAUCUGAGCCUGGCAUGAUGGCUGGUGAAAGAAAAGCUAAAUAUGGUUGCUGGAAACUCCAAUCACCAAUCAUCAAUCAUCACAAUGCUUCUUAUAAAUCACCAUUGUCUGCUUUUAAUUAGAAAAUUUUAAAAUUGACUUAUUAGGCCAAGUGAAGGACAAAUGAUGCAAAAGUUUUAGACAUCCUGCGUGAGGGUACUUUAUGUGCAUACUUUAUUGGUUUUUUUUAUGACUAUUAACCCUUUUUAUGAUGCAGUUGUUUGGCUCUUUCAUACUUGUUUUUGUUUAAAUGUUACUGCGUGUUAAAUCCGGACAAACCUCAAACCACAGCAAAAAAUAAAGAUAACACAAGACAAACAAA